rnacentral:sRNA from 1 species
UGCGAGCGUUAACGAUAGGAACGGCAUCCUUUUUUUGCUCCUGCCAUAAAGCAAAUGGCAAAAAAAGAUAUAGUGAAUAGCGUGUUAAAAC